rnacentral:rRNA from 1 species
UACGAGGGGGGCAAGCGUUGUUCGGAAUUACUGGGCGUAAAGGGCUUGUAGGCGGCCAACUAAGUCAGACGUGAAAUCCCUCGGCUUAACCGGGGAACUGCGUCUGAUACUGGAUGGCUAGAGAUUGGGAGAGGGAUGCGGAAUUCCAGGUGUAGCGGUGAAAUGCGUAGAUAUCUGGAGGAACACCGGUGGCGAAGGCGGCAUCCUGGACCAACACUGACGCUGAGGAGCGAAAGCCAGGGGAGCAAACGGG